UGAGGUAUAGCUCAGUAGGUAGAGCGUCUGACUGUUAAUCAGAUUGUCGCAGGUUCGAGCCCUGCUACCUCAGCCA
rnacentral:tRNA from 1 species